rnacentral:rRNA from 1 species
UACGUAGGACCCAAGCGUUAUCCGGAAUUACUGGGCGUAAAGAGUUUCGUAGGUGGCAUAGUAAGUAGAUAGUGAAAGCGUGUGGCUCAACCAUACAUCCAUUAUCUAAACUGCUAAGCUAGAAGAUGAGAGAGGUAGAUGGAAUUCCUGAUGUAGGGGUAAUAUCCGUAGAUAUCAGGAGGAACACCGAUGGCGUAGGCAGUCUACUGGCUCAUUCUUGACACUAAGGCACGAAAGCAUGGGGAGCAAACAGG